UUCCAUGCACUUUAUUCCAUUUCCACACUUACUUCGCUAAGCACAUUUAAAGCUUAAUCAUCAACGGUAAAACCGAGGCGAAACAAAUCGGUUCGGAUCAAAUCGAAUCGAAUGGAGUCAAAGUAACAAUUAUUCAAAUACAAUUCAAAUAAAUUCAAAGCUACAAAAAUAAUCGAUUCGGAGAGGCGCACAACACCAAUAUAAUUAAACCUAUUAGAGCCGUCGUUAACUUCGUAUAUUGAGCAAGUAUCUAUCCUAUUCCAUUGCCGAUUUGAUUGUUUCUAACAUUUCACUUCAUCUCAUUUGCAUCGCCAUUAGCCGAGGGCUACCGAGUCCAUUAAACCAAGAGGAGUUUUGGGACUAGUUAAGAGCUAGAGCUGGCCUACAGUGCGUUUCGGGACAGUAGGACAAAGGCCAAGUGCCCCUCUUAUUGCGGGGUUAUCAAAAAAGCUAUAGAUUCCGAAACGCACUGUCGAGUUACUGAGGGUGAACUUGAUAAUGAUGGAUUUUGAUACAGUUCAAUGGGCAUGCCGCAACAGAAAGAUAAAAUUUAUCGCCCCUUCUUAGCUGCGUAAAGAAAUGAAAUCAAUUCCCAGAAGAGAGUGCUAAAAAAGCAAUAAAAUAAAAAGAAGAAACGAUUAAUCACGUCCAAAAAACGUAAACAUUUGAUAAAAAUAUAGUUAUUUAAUCAUAUCAGUGUGAGAUAUGGCCAAAGGUAGUGGGAUUUAAAUUAAAACUCCCCGUCGAUGAAAAUAAAAACAAAACGAAGUGUUCAAAAAUAAUAUUUUUAAUUCGAAUAAAAACCAACAUUCAAUGGGAAAAUACAUACAAAAGUCACAAAGUUACAGCUAAAAAUUAGGUUUCGUGUAAAUUUUGGAAAAUAGGAGUCCUGUAUUAGCCAUAAAUCGUAUUUAUGUGUUUUAAGUAAAUUUAUUGUUUUUUUCUUUAUUUUUUUGGGUUUUCUGCGUGUAAUAAUUAUUCUCUUUUAAUACAACCAUAUUCAGCAUUUCUUAAAAAAGAAAUUAUACGACAUUAAGAACUAAACGGCAGAUGAGGUGUAUGAUCAGUUUUUAGAAAUGUGAAUGACUGUGAGAUGUAAUUUCAUUAGAGGACGGGGGUUAGGUCAGCGGAAAAGAGACGCGUCAUCACUUUAAUAGCUAUAAAAUAACGUAUUGCAAUAUCUGCGCAUCGUCUUACAUCACUAGUAGCUUGGUAUUAUCAUGGUUUGCUCGAGAAAUCCC